CUAAAAUGUAAAAGAAUUUACAAAAAAGAAGGUUUUUUUUUUUUUUUUUUUAAAAAAGAUCACAAGUAGUGGAUAAUGCAGUUUAUUUCUGUGACAGUCUCUACAGCACUGACACCGUACGUCCCAUCAGUCCAACCAAGGUGUUUGAAUUUUCAUCCAUCCUCUGGAUGUUCUGGAGCAUAGCAGUGGUCAGGUCUUGGUCUCUGGAUGUUCUGGAGCAUGGCAGAGGUCAGGUCUUGGUCUCUGGAUGUUCUGGAGCAUGGCAGUGGUCAGGUCUUGGUCUCUGGAUGUUCUGGAGCAUGGCAGUGGUCAGGUCUUGGUCUCUGGAUGUUCUGGAGCAUGGCAGUGGUCAGGUCUUGGUCUCUGGAUGUUCUGGAGCAUGGCAGUGGUCAGGUCUUGGUCUCUGGAUGUUCUGGAGCAUGGCAGAGGUCAGGUCUUGGUCUCUGGAUGUUCUGGAGCAUGGCAGAGGUCAGGUCUUGGUCUCUGGAUGUUCUGGAGCAUGGCAGAGGUCAGGUCUUGGUGUCUCCUCAACUGUUCCUCUGACCUCUCCAGAUACUGCAGCAGAUCCACAGUAGCAUCCCGCUUCCUUUUUCCUGCAUAAAAGCACCCAAAAAGGUAUUAGUUGUUAGUAAUUACUUUCUAUAUUCAUAAACACAGUUAAAGUAAAUGUUCUGUUUUGUGAUUUUAGGAUGGGC
ensembl:lncRNA